rnacentral:tRNA from 1 species
UCCUCAGUGGUGUAGUGGUAUCAUGCAAGAUUCCCAUUCUUGUGACCCGGGUUCGAUUCCCGGCUGGCGCA